rnacentral:rRNA from 1 species
UGGCUCAGGAUGAACGCUAGCGGCAGGCCUAAUACAUGCAAGUCGGACGGGAUCUAAAUCUAAGCUUGCUUAGAUUUAGUGAGAGUGGCGCACGGGUGCGUAACGCGUGAGCAACCUACCCAUAUCAGGGGGAUAGCCCGGAGAAAUUCGGAUUAACACCGCAUGACACAGCAAUUCGGCAUCGAAUCACUGUUAAAUAUUUAUAGGAUAUGGAUGGGCUCGCGUGACAUUAGCUAGUUGGUAAGGUAACGGCUUACCAAGGCUACGAUGUCUAGGGGCUCUGAGAGGAGAAUCCCCCACACUGGUACUGAGACACGGACCAGACUCCUACGGGAGGCAGCAGUAAGGAAUAUUGGUCAAUGGAGGGAACUCUGAACCAGCCAUGCCGCGUGCAGGAUGACUGCCCUAUGGGUUGUAAACUGCUUUUGUCCAGGAAUAAACCUUACUACGUGUAGUAAGCUGAAUGUACUGGAAGAAUAAGGAUCGGCUAACUCCGUGCCAGCAGCCGCGGUAAU